rnacentral:rRNA from 1 species
CAAAAACAUGUCUUUUAGAAAAUAAUUUAAAGUCUAACCUGCCCACUGAUUUUAUAUUUAAAGGCCGCAGUAUUUUGACUGUGCAAAGGUAGCAUAAUCAUUUGUCUUUUAAUUGAAGGCUGGAAUGAAUGGUUGAAUGAAGUAUUAACUGUCUCAUUUUAAUAAAUUAAGAAUUUAGCUUUUAAAUAAAAAGGUUUAAAUAAAAUUAAAAGACGAGAAGACCCUAUAGAUUUUUAUAUUAUUUAAUUUAAUUUAAUUAAGAAAUAAAUUUUAUUAUUAUUUUAAAUAAUAUUUGAUUGGGGUGAUUAAAAAAUUAAACAAACUUUUUUAUAUAAAAACAUAAAUUAAUGAUUAAUUGAUCCAAUUAUAUUGAUUAAAAGAUUAAAUUACCUUAGGGAUAACAGCGUAAUUUUUUUAGAGAGUUCAUAUCGAUAAAAAAGAUUGCGACCUCGAUGUUGAAUUAAAGGUUAUUUUUAAAUGUAGUAGUUUAAAGUUUAAGUCUGUUCGACUUUUAAAUCUUUACAUGAUCUGAGUCCAAACCCGGA